UGCAUUUAAUAGCUUGCAUUAGUUUAUUUACAUGUGUAUUCUGGCAUCUACUGUAUAUUAGUAUGGGUCUGUGCAUUUGUAUGCCUAACUGUGUUCUUGUAGGUAUAACUGUGUCUGUGUUGUUACCACUUGCAGGUUUAUCUUUAUCCAGAUUACCAGUAUCGGAGUGAAAUGUUAUCGCUUUGCACUCGCAGCUGAUUUCUAGAUCGGAGUCUGAUCCUGUGGAGACGUACGGUCCCAGACAUAGGUCAGGGACGGUGGAAGGUGCCUUACAGAGGAGCAGUGCCAAGGCUGUUUCGGCAGGCUGGUAGCAUGAAGGCGGCUCUAAGGACUCUUGUUACCUGUGGCUGUCUCUUGUUGCCAGCUGGGAUAGCCCUUGGAGCUGGUGGUAGGUCGGUGCUUCUGACUGUAGCUGGCUAAUGCUUCUGGCUUGCCAUGAUGCCAUUCUGAAAUUCCACCUCCUGCACCUGGGUUUGAUCCAACUCACCCGAGUAUUUACACAUGCAACACUCGGGUCUCGCUGUUGUGGUCCCAUUCUCUGCUGCAAUCCAAACAGCUUUCAUUGCCACGGCGUCCUGGCCUGUGUGCAGACAUGCAUGUGGAAGACGAGCAUUUGCCCAUGUCAGGGCACUUAUGAGUUAAACUGCUGGUGACGCUCCCUCCAGCCUCCCCCCUUUCCCAAAUAUGCAGUGGAGUGUCCAGUGGGUUAGUGCAGAGAGGACUAAUUGCUAUUAAAAGGCUUUAAUCUGGGAGAUUAGUGCUGGCUCCAGGCGGUGUUUGCACACGAAGGAGACAUUUCCGAUGAGAUGAACUAGAAUUUGUCCCUGCUGUUUUGUUGAUAGAAAAUCAUCUUCCCCUUGGUUUUUUCUCUUUAUCUCUGUCUCUCUUGCUUUCUCGCUCUCUCUGAUCAUUUGCUUUUGCCUCUUCCUUGAAGUUGAGCUGAGAGCUGUAUUGUUUCUGAGAGUAGCAGUCCUCUUUGACCUUUGGGGUCAGUUGUCUUCGGACGUACGUAUAGACCCGCAUGCACGUAUGCGUAGAUGUGACCAGAGUUUCCUGCUCCAAAGAGUCCUUCAGGAAAUAGGUCCUGAUCAAGAGAAGUAAUGGUAAAUAUAUUUUCUCCUUGCUUGCUGUUGAGUCUCUUGCAGGUCGAUGAGGGGCCUGUAGAACCCUUUCUAUAACAUGGGUCAGGCCAGUCCCCUUCUCCUGGGCAAAGGCUGAUCCAGGGAGCAUCAGGAAGAGGUGCUGCAGACUGAACAUCUUAAAGGUCCCCGCAGAGGUAAUUAGUGGGAGGUAAUUAAAUGAUUACAUAUGGGAAGGUAUGGAGCAUUACUGGACCUUUGGCAUGACCCAGGAAAUGUCACUAUUGACUUUGAUGAACAUUGGACCAAGCUCAAUGGAAAUUAAUCUGACAACAUGCCAGAUGUGUCCAGAGAGCCUGUCCAUGAAGGAGACACGUUUGACCUGGGAGCACAGAAAUCUUUUGCUACACUUGCUGGAGGAUCCAAAAGCAGAGGUGCUUAUUCUGAAUUCACUGUUGUCAGAAAUCCAAGAGUGUUGCUCAGGCCUGACUAUCUAGGCAGAUAAUCCCUGCUGCUCCUAGUGUCCGCCUGGGAUUUUCACAGCAUCCCCAGGAAGUUAAGGGCCAGUUCCCUUUGAAAAGCACAAAGGAAUAAAUGGACAAUGUUUACGUGUAACGUGAGUGGAAGGAACUGAAGACAUUGUAUCCCAAAGAGAAGGGUGUGUGAAAACUUGAGGAGAAAAGGAGAACUCUGGUAGAACCACAAAGCUGUGCAUGGUCCGUCAGGCCUUGAAGGUGGCCAGGCAAAAGCUAUAAAGCAAAACGGUAAGGGGGGAUGAGUAUCCUCGAAUCAAGGGGGCAGUUGGGCAGGGGGGAGAAAGUUGUUUCAGAAUCCAGGUCUUCCUUUCAAAGAGGUCAAGGCACUCCAGGGAGGACGCACUCUGCUUGUGAAGUGUCAUGCGCCCUUCUGUGCGGUGCCUGAACACCGUGGGCUUUGCUCUUCCGCAGGAUGCUGCUGGAGACUGUUUUUACUAUAAGCAAGUAUUUUAGGAGGUGUAAAUCAGGCACUAGCAGCAGAGAAGGGAAAAUCAAGUCACCUCUGUAUCCCUGGGGACAUUGUGGCUCUCCAAAGACAGUUAUGGAGCCUGUUGCUUGGCAAAGUGGUGUGGGGCUUCUUGGUUUGGGUUUUUUGGUUGGUUGGGUUUGUUGUUUUUUGUUUUUUUUUUUAAAGCAUCUGAAUCAGAUAUGAAGUGUCACAGCAUUGGACCCCUCAAGAAGGGUUGUAGUGGGCUGGAAUUUUGUAUAAAGGUAUUUAUAACUCUCUCUCUCCCCCCCUUCCCCCCUGCCUGAAAAUCCAAACUGUUACUGUUAGCCGGCAGGAGGGCAGACCUACUGCUCGUGUAAAUCGCUCUAUUUCUCUUGUUUGCCCUUGUUCCCUCAAGUUUGCAGAUGAUGCUGGUGUAACCGACAUAAGGAUCUGGCCUCUAGCAUGUGUUUGUCCCAUCUGCUGUCCAGUAUGUUAAUUUUCAUGGAAGACACAAACUUGCAUGGACUGUGAUUUUUAAGGAGGGGCCCUUUUUCUUUUCAAGAGCCAACUGUGACGCCUCAGGGGCCACAUUCUGAAAGGCAGUCACUGCCCAGCUCAGGAGAAGCUGGGAACUUGUCUCCUGUCAAUUUCUGGCUUGUGGUCCAAUACUGGCAAGACCACGGGGAAGAAACCACGUGUUGGAUAUUUGUGUAAAAGCAGCGAAGGUGUGGAAGAUUUUUUGGUAGCGACGUCCUUGGGUGGAAGGGCCAGGCUUGCAAAAAAAGGGCUCAGCUGCAAUGAGCCUCGAAAAAUCCUCAAGGGGGGUUAGAAAUAGUGUGACAGGGAGCAUAUUUUCACCACUGUUGUCAACCAAAAUAAAAAUAAUGAUUUCUUAAAAAAGAAAUAAAAUGCAACAAGUAGAAGAGAAGGGGUCUGUUUCUUUGGCUGAUCCUCUUUAUCUCUUCUCUUUCAAUAGGAGCAGAAGUAUGUCCGGCAAUUGUUCAGGUGAUUCUUAUUCCCAGCAUUUAAUGCUGCAAAUAUUUACAAAUAUUAAUAGCCAGGCUUCUUAACAUGCCCAGUGAUCUUGAAUGUCUUGUGUUUAUGGUACAAGAUUGGAAAUACCAGAGAUUUUUCUAAAUGCUCAGGCCUGAUCUUUUUAUUAAAAAAUAGCCUAACCAAAAAGUCACCUGAAACUGGGAAUCUAAGUUCUAACUCAGCUAUUGUUAACUUUUGUUAGUGUUUGUUAGGAUACAUUUCUUGAUUGCUACUGAUGUCAUGCAAGCGGCUUAUUGUGCCUUUGGGAGGUGGCGUUAGUAACUCUUCCAUUGUUAUUGCGAGUUUCAUGAGAACUACGGAGUUUCUGAAACUCCCAGCUCUGAGAAUCAGGUACGCGUAUGGCAGUGUCAGCUGUCCUUUCAGUUUGUUAUCUUUUCAGUGUUGCUACUCCCAAGGUUGGCAUUAACUCAGAAUAAAUAGCCUGAGAACUUAUUAGAAGCUUAAAAUUCACAAGGUACUCAGGAUCUACGAUGAUAUAAAAAUAUGCUAAUGACUUUCAGUGAACCUUCUGGUUUUAGCAGAUAUGGCACACCAUUUUCGAACGGCUUAUGUUGGAAAUGUCACAGAUAGGCUUCAGGUCUCCCCCAAAUACUCAUGGAAACUGAUCUUUUACCAUAUUCACCUCACGGCGUGAUUGGAGCUCCAGGAGUCCGCAUCUAAGGCACUUGGAAGGAGUUGGCCACUCAGCGUUUGGAGAAAUGUUUAAAGCUCUCCAUGCGCUGAACCUCUUCGACCACAGAGGUGAAACUUCCACUUGACUUCGGAGGAGCUUGAGUCAGCCCCGCAUCCAGGGCUGCAGGUCCCGUCAGGUGUGUCAUUGGGUUGCUCGCUGGGAUGUAGGAAAGAAGAGUGGACAUGGCUGGCGUGUCCGACGUCUUUCGAGCAUAAUUUGGAAUGAGAUUUUGGAGAUCAAAACACACGUAAAAAGAUUCCAGCUAUGGAACAGGAGUGACUUGUCCCUGAUCACACGCAAAGCCGAAGGCAGAGCUGGGAACGGGGCCCACGUGUCCGGCACGGCACGGGCAAUGCAGGCAUACUGCUGGGAGAGGCACUUCUGUGAGCCACAGCCAUGAAUCUGCAGCCUCUUUCGUCUGGGAAGAAACACAGCAAAAGCCCCACAGCUGUGGAUUGUCUGAUGCCAGCAAAUAAACCAGAUGGACGACAGGGAUGGAGACAGGCCAAGCUGGGAUGGAAAGCACAGUGUGCCCUCCUGUCUUAAUGGGCUUCUGGAAGAUGAAGUAGCACAAGCUGGAAAGAGCCUUCAGCUGCAAAGCUCCCUGUGUUGAGGACAUCAUUUUACGGAUGGGCUGUCACAAAAGGCUGUGAGAAAACCACAAGUGCUUCACUUCAGCUGUCCAGGGUCUGCAGAAUCUGGCUUCUUUCAAAACCCGAGGAGAUGAGUCUCUCACCACCAUGAAACACUAGUUGCUGGAGCCUGUCUCAAAAUAAAGGCUUGAACCUCAGUUCAGUGGCUCUUCAAGCCAGACCGAGCUGCUUGCAAGUCUGAUUUGGAAGGGAUUACUGAACACUCCCCUCAGCGUGCUGGAAAAUCACCCCU